CGGAACUGCCGGUCAUAAACCGGAGGAAGUGGGGAUGACGUCAAGUCAGCAUGGCCUUUAUAUCCUGGGGCUACACACACGCUACAAUGGGAAGGGACAAUAGGUUGCGAAGCCGCGAGGCGGAGCCAAUCCAGCAAAACUUCCCUCAGUUCAGAUUGCAGGCUGCAACUCGCCUGCAUGAAGUUGGAGUUGCUAGUAAACGCAGGUCAGCCAUACUGCGUUGAAUACGUUCCCGGGGCUU
rnacentral:rRNA from 1 species